CUAAGUGAAUGUUGGACUAAUCAAAAUGAGGCGGUUUUCUAAAAGUCAGUGAUAAUAAAGAUCUAUUAAACGACUAGGUCAACGCAUGUUAGAGUCAAUGAUGAUUUGAAUUUUUGCCGUCAAUUUAAUUGAUUUGAAUUUUUGCGAUGAUCCCAUGCGGCUGGUUCUACUCGUCCCGUCACUUCAUCUGUUGGUCAGAGUAAAAAUGACAAGUUACUUCCUCGUAUUUAGGGGAUGAGGUGUCAUUCACUAGGAGACAUGAUAUUAUUGAUUUUUGGGAAUGGAAAAUGACGAUUGCUCUCCUCAUCACUUUGAACGGACGCCGGACGGCAUGGAAUUGGAAGGUAAAACUGUAAAAGAGUUUUGUAUGCUACAAAAAAGCAGAAGGUCCAAUCCAAAGCCACUAUUGGGCCGAAAAAUAACGGGCUUGCUUAUAUUUUAGAACAGUGCUAUUGGCACCCCCAUCUCUUAUCUUAUAAAUCUCCAUUCUUUUAAGGAUACACGACACAAAAUAUUUUAUCAAUAUCAUAAAUUCUACUAAAACCCUUUAUAUUUGCAAAAUUGGUAUAUGGAUUUUAGAUAUUAAUCCAUUUAUUUUUUGUCAAAUUCAAAUUUCAACUAGUGUAAUGAUGGAAAUUAUUUUUUUAUUGAACAAAUUCUCUAGUUUCUAUGAUUUGUUUUUACAAUAAUUCCAAGAAAUUAAUGAAAUUUUGUCAAAUGAAAAAUAAAAAAACAAUAAAAAGUUUAAAUUGCAGAUGAAAUAAAAUUGUAAGUUAAAAAAAUAAUUAGAGGGAAUUUAUAAGAUUAAAAAAUGGGGUGCCAAUAGUACUCUUCUCUGAAUUUUAUAGGCUCAAUUUGGGCCCAAAAAAACUCGGCACAAGUGUUUAGGCAUUUUUUGGGCCAUAAAAGCCGACCCAUUAAACCGGUUACCUUACUUGUUCGUAGCUUUCGUGCAUUGAACAAGUCCAUCCGCAAGUCUCACCAAAUUCUCAAUUUUCAUAACAAUUUCCUACUUUUGUGAAAUUCACUAUAAAUAAAAUAAAAUAAUCCCAAAAAUAUAAAAAAUUCUCACGGUCCCAAAUUAUUGAAAAAAAAAAUCCCUAAGUGGUUUAUCGUCAAGAGAAAAUAUUCUCAAGAGAGUCACAUAAAGUCUUAUUGAAACUUCUAAUUUAGCAAAUGACAAUGAAUAAUGAUAGCGAUGGUGGUUGGUGGUGUAGACAAGUAGGACCAAACUACGAUGCCGUAGUCCUAAUUUGUUGGUCCAUAGAGCAAGCCACAUGCUUGCAAUUAUUUCCAUUUUGGGUUUUGUGGCUUUGUUAUUUAUUCACGUCUCUCUUUUAAUACGCAGUAAACAGGCACUUCCGUUAUUGAAAAAAAGAAAAAAGAAAAACUGAAUGGGUUGAAUUCUAACCAUUUUAUUUCCACUCAAUAAAUUUUACUAAGUUGGAAUUGCUCCAUGGAGGAGUAAUACUGAUGACCGUACGAUUAUAAAAAUAAAAAUUAAAUUUGUACUUACGGUUAUGAUUUAACAGUCAUCAUCAAGCUCCACUAUAGUCACUACUUUUUACAAAUUAUAUUAAUUAGACCCACUAUUCACUUGAUUCUAGAUAUUUUAUUUCCAUUUAAUAAAUUUUACUAAGUUGAAAUUGCUCUAUAGUGGAAUAAUACUGAUGACUGUACGAUCAUAAAAAUAAAUAUUGAAUCUACACUUACUGUUAUGAUUUAACAGUUAUCAUCAACGCUAUACGGUGAAGCAGCUUUGCCAUAACCACUAUCUUUUACUAAUUAUAUUAAUUCCAAGAACACAAGACUUUUUUUUCCUUAUAUGAUCGAACACGAACAGUAUGAAAAUAUAUAAUAUGUACGGAAAUGUGUCAAUCAUGACAACUAAAAAAAACGACUUCUUUUCAAGCUUUAUAUAUAUAUAUAUAUAUAUAUAUAUAUAUAUAUAUAGAUCUCCCUAUCUUACAUGCAUGUAAGAUACAUCCAUCUCACAUGAACAGUACGUGAGCUCCACAUAUGCACUAUUUAUAUUAGUGGAAUGUAUCUUGCAUAUAUGUAAGAUAGGAAUUCCCUAUAUAUAUAUAUAUAUAUAUAUAUGGUUUGAUAGAAUUUGUCUGUGCUUCACCAAUAGCUAUUAAAAUUUAUCAUCAUCCCUCAAAUGCGAGCAUAGUCGUGGUCCAUCAAACUCUCAUACAAUACCAACUCGUGCGAUACUAUUUAUAUUUUAUAUUCGUAGUGUAUUUGUAUUAGCGUUAACGAUGGCUGGACAAUAAAUAAAUAUUAACCCAUGCAAAGAUUGUAUGAGUAUGUCUUCCCUUUAAGCAACCAAGCCGUAAGGUGGUCCUGUUUUGAAUACAUGGUCUCUCUCCUUGAAUUGGGGCAUCACCAUCAUCAUGCCGGACGAAAGGCAUUAAAAUUUUCUAGUUGCACUCACCAGAAGUUGCGUGGACUUGGCUGCUUGCAAAUUGUUUUAGGAUCAUCUGCCCACAAUUUUUUUAAACUUCAGGGGUGCUUUUGAAAAUACAUAUAUCUAGUGAAACUGAUUACCAUUAUUAUUUUCUACUCCGAAAACGACGAAGUCUACCACUUAUCAAGUACAUUUGAACACAAAAUAAUUAUUAAAAUGAAGUUUAAAAUAGUUUUCUCAAAAUUAAUAACAGUUUAAUGUAGGGCAGAUCGGAUUCUUAGUGUCUUUUUUAACAUUUGAAUUUUUGAGGCGUUGAUCAAUUGAAAGAGAGUCAAUAAUGUUGUGCUAGAUAUUUAACAUUUGUCUUUUUUCACAUUUGAAUUUUUGAGGCGUUGAUCAACAAUGUUGUGCUAGAUAUUUAAUUCGGAUAUUGGAUUGGUCGGAUCCUAAUAUGGUAUUUGAAUACCAAAUUAUUAAUAUGCCGAAAAAAUAUUUAAUUAAGAUACUAAUUGAUAUGAUACUAAUAAUUUAAUGUUAUGUGUAUAGUAAUAAUUGAUUUAUUAUUAAUUAUUAAUCUAUUAGUUUUACAAUUUGCUUAAUGAUUGACAUACUGUAUUAAGAUGUUAGUGCACUAUCGAAAGGUUUUUCAAAUAAAAUUUUAUUUUUUAUUUGAAGAAUUACAUAAGGAUUAGACACUUCAAAAGACACUUCAAUUAGAAUUCUUUAAAUAAAAUAUUAUUUUCACUAUUCAAUAUUGUCGAGUGAGU
rnacentral:lncRNA from 1 species